UAUAUUUCGUAAAACUGUUCAAUAAACAUAUAACAAACCAUUUUGAUUAUUUAUUUAAAAAUGUAAUAUAAUUUUUGGACUCGGCCCAUUUUGCGUAAGAACUUGAAAAGGGGUGGCAGCCCGGGUUGACGUUAUUAUUUUGUGCGCGUUUCUGCCACCUAUUCAACAUCCACCUCAUCAGUGCAGCGCAGUUAAUAUUCUUCAAAUGACUUGUUUACAUCAUUUCGACAAAGUUAAGGGGCUGCCAGUCCUGCAAUUGUGCGUUUUGCACAUUUCAUUGCAGAACAACAAUUGCCCCCAAGACUGUACCCCACAAAUACACCAACACAAACAAGCACAUUCCUAUAUGUGUGAGACACCAUCUGGCAACGCAGCUCAAUGGGAUGUUCCCAGAGUGUUAAAAGCACUUUUCGUUUCGUCAGCAGAGUGCAAAACCUUACGAAAAAUCUAAAUUCCGGGCGAUUUGUAAAUAUUCGCAAAUAUAAAGCAGAAAAUAAUACGUAAAUCCGCUUGAAGGUUGCUGGACAGAGAGCGCGCGGUCACUGCGGGCAAAGCACAAAGUAAAUCUGCACUUGGAAAUAUGAAUGCGUUGAACUCAAAGGGCGUCGCGGGCGAACGAAACGGUCGAGAUGAUAGUCACUGCGGUGGACGUCGUGAUACCACUGCUAUUUGCACUUUCAAUGGGCGGCCUUAUCUGCGUAUUUACAAUCAAAACGCGACGUCAAAUUCAAAAUUAAAUUUAAAUUGCCGUCGAGUUUACUUUUGUACAAUUAUGAAUCAGGGUGGGACCGUAGCGCAACCGUUAAAGUAUACCGCGGUACAGGCACUAAUAUACUAAUAUGUUUUGGAUUAAUACUGAAAAAUACCUUAAAAUACUGCUCCCUCUUACUGUGAAUGGCAUGAAUAACGCUUAGUAGGGACUUAAUCCGGCAUUUUUGGAAUUUAAAAAAAAAAAAUUCAAAA